rfam:Gossypium hirsutum cultivar TM-1 unplaced genomic scaffold scaffold2538.1, whole genome shotgun sequence
UGUUAAAAAUUUCAUCUAUUUUUACUGUUAAAAGCUAGUGUGAUUGACAGAAUAACAAGACAAUGACACAUCGUGUGCCACUUGUACCUCAUGUUGACGUACAUGGAUAAGUUUUUAACAGUAGAAAUGGAUGAAAAUUUUAAUA